UAGGGAAUCUUCGGCAAUGGGGGGAACCCUGACCGAGCAACGCCGCGUGAGUGAAGAAGGUUUUCGGAUCGUAAAGCUCUGUUGUAAGAGAAGAACGAGUGUGAGAGUGGAAAGUUCACACUGUGACGGUAUCUUACCAGAAAGGGACGGCUAACUACGUGCCAGCAGCCGCGGUAAUACGUAGGUCCCGAGCGUUGUCCGGAUUUAUUGGGCGUAAAGCGAGCGCAGGCGGUUAGAUAAGUCUGAAGUUAAAGGCUGUGGCUUAACCAUAGUACGCUUUGGAAACUGUUUAACUUGAGUGCAAGAGGGGAGAGUGGAAUUCCAUGUGUAGCGGUGAAAUGCGUAGAUAUAUGGAGGAACACCGGUGGCGAAAGCGGCUCUCUGGCUUGUAACUGACGCUGAGGCUCGAAAGCGUGGGGAGCAAACAGGAUUAGAUACCCUGGUAGUCCACGCCGUAAACGAUGAGUGCUAGGUGUUAGACCCUUUCCGGGGUUUAGUGCCGCAGCUAACGCAUUAAGCACUCCGCCUGGGGAGUACGACCGCAAGGUUG
rnacentral:rRNA from 1 species